AUGCCCCAUCGGCCUCCUCUACAUCACGCCUCCCGACACCACCCCACCUCCAUCGCCCUUGUUGCUGCUGCUAGACCACCAUGGCCACCUUCCCAUGUUUCUUCUUCGGCCUUCAGUGCAUCGAACACCCCCACUGGUGCCUCUGUGAACAUUGCCAUGUUUGGCCACCACCAAGACCCUCAAAUCCUAUACCGGGAGCCCAAGUUUGAAGACUGCGUGGAUGUGCAUCUCACUUGUGCUACUUUGGAUCAUCAAGACCAUUUCGGGAUUCGCCAAGUACCGCUACGCCCGAAGACCACGGAUCCAUGA
rnacentral:rRNA from 1 species